AGAGAUUGAUUCUCAGUAUUCUGUAAAUAGACUUUUUUUUACUUCUGCCUUUUCUUGGACUUUUAGUAAAUUUCAACUGAUUUCUCUGGAUUUCAUUCCUCUCAUCUGAUUAUUCUAGCACCGCCUAUAUUUCUAAAACAUAAGUAUGUCAACUGUGUGCUCGUACAUCCUUAAUGGUUUUGAAUUUCUCAUAGUAUAAAGCCUGUCUUCUUAGUAUGGCAUUCAAGGCUCGUUCAGUCUACCUUUCUAGCUGCUCUCAUCAAUCCUUCUGCUCAUGUCAAUCAUAUAUCUCCACGAACUUCCUUUGUGCUUUUCUGACAUCUCGUGUCCUUGUUGUCCAUCCAAGCUCCCUGUUGCAGUUCUAUCCAGAUCUCAUUACAUUGUUACUUGAUUCAUACAGUCUUUGUCAGUCCUAUCCUGGAUUUCUCUCAGGCAGAAUUAAUUCCUCUCUUCCCAUCUAUGUUUCCAGGUUUUUACUGGUGUUAGGACAGUCUGCUUUGUAACAUAUAUUGUUGGUAUCUGUCUCUCAUCCGCCUUGUGCCAUUUGAUUUCCAUGUCUGAUUACAAACAGGAAGGACCAUAAGCUCACAGACUGUGUCUCUUCCUCUUGUACCUCUGCAGAACCUAGGACAGUAUGUUGCCCAUAGCAAGAAUGGGAUGCUCAUUUAUUGAGUGGCAGUUGCAGUUACAUUGCUCACCUGGUAAUCUUACUGUCUUUACCUAGUUUUGUAAAGAAAUAAUAAAAUGCAGCUUCUCUGGAGUAGAAGCUGUAUUUCACAGCAACAGUGUUUCCUGUCACAUCAAAAAACCAACUCUCUGGGGAGCCUGGGGGCUCAGUCGGUUAAGCAACUGUCUCUUGAUUUUGGCUCAGGUCACGACCUCACAGUUAGAGUUUGAGCCCCACCGUCAGCAUGGAGCCUGCUUGGGAUUCUUUCCCCCACCCCCUCUGCCACUCCCCCGUGGGCGCCCUGUGUUCUCGCUGUCUCUCUCCCAAAAAAACCCACAACUCUAAAAUAAGACUUUUUAGAUGUUCCUUGCAGUGAUAACUGAAUUCUUAGUUAAAAUAAAGCAUGGAUUUAAUGUCUUCACAGUUUUUAUAUAAUUCUCUGGGUGUCUUUCUUUUUUUCCCUGUGUUUAGUCAUUAGCUGGUGAGGUGGUUUAAUUUGUAGCAUUUGCAGAUCGUGUACUCUGUACGUGAAGCAAAUCACUUUAUUUGUAUAAGGAAAUGCACAGUUGAGACUUUGAUUUAAUUUGUAAUCACUAUUAGUGAGAGGAACCAUAAUUUAAAUCUGUUUGUAUCUUUAAGAAUAGAAUUGUAGCCACCUCCAAUAAAAACAGAACAAUUAUUUCAGGUAAGAUGAAAUUUAAAACAUUCACAGACCUGACGUCUGGGUGGAUUUGGCAUAGUGCCCAGAGAUACUUGAAGUCACAAGACAGGGCAUAGUUUCCUAGAAUGGCAACUUACUCAACAGUAUUGGUGAAAAGAAAAAGCAAUGCUGAUCAGAUAAUUUUUGAUCUUCUCAGAUAUUUUUAUCAGAUCAUUUUUUUCAAAUAACUUUUAAGUAAAUGUAACUAUUAUGGAGUAGAUUACAGAUUUGUCAUGAUUUUUCAAGAUAAAAUAUGAGAACAAAUAGUUCUUCUUCUUUAUUGUUGAUUGUUGUGGAGAAGUGUAGAAAACUGACCUAAGAUGGAUGAUACAAGAAUGAGACAUGGAGUGGGCGCCCCGAUGGCUCCGUUUUUAAGGAUGGCUCAGGUCAUGAUCUCACUGUUCUGAGUUCGAGUCCCGUAUCCAGUGAAGCUUGAGCCCCACUUUGGGCGAGGUCGUGCCCCGCUUGGGGUGAGCAUGAGCCCCACUUCGGGUUAGCCCUGCUUCUCUCCCCGUCUCCCUUUUUCUCUCUCUGCCCUCCCUGGGAUUCCCUCUC